rnacentral:rRNA from 1 species
ACCUGCGGAAGGAUCAUUGUCGAAACCUGCCCAAGCAGAGAGACCAGCGAAC